CUCAUGGGAGCGGUAGUUUUUAUACCGAAGCUCACGAGUGGCUCCUCCCUCCACGUUCAGCUUUCCUUCACUUUAUGGUCUGGCUCACUUUUUGCUUUGGGUCAGACGCACAGCAAGUAAUACAAAACCUUGUAAGAGACUGAAAAUUACAGAGUUGAUGACAGGAGAAACCGAUUGUCUCUGAAGAUGAAAUAUUGAGCAAAUGAAGCUACAGCAGAUCCUUAAAUAUAGUUAUUGGAAGCAGCCUUAUAUCUAAAGAAACACCGUAUUAGGAUUGUGAUGAGUGACUCCCUAAUUAGCUCAGGCUCUGGCCCAGAGGACUGUGCAUGGCUGUAUUUAACUGCCUGGAAAGUGGCUCUGAAAAGAUGCUGGCUCAGCGGUGCUGCUGUUUACCUGAUUCUUUGGUAUGUGCUCUCCCGAGCCCAAGAGUCAUUUGGCAACAACUUGGGUCAGAAGUCCUCCCUUCCCAGUCCAUCACCUCACCCAGCCACUGGGGGGCUGAGUUUGUCCAGAUCAGAUCUUUCCUUCACAUGGGAAUCCCUAUAUGACAUGGAAAGGCAAUGAUAAAUGGACUGGAAGAGUCUGGAUUUAUAUUCAAGCUGUUAUGCAUGGUGAGGCCAACUUGAGAAAAACAUGGCUCUUAAAAGACUUUUCAUUGUUUGGGGUUAACCAGAAUUUUUACCACAGUCCAGAGAGUUUUAACUUUACAAAGAUGUGGCAUUUUAUUUUCAUAAAGCUAUUAUUGACAGUGCUCCCUUUUCGAGUGACUUUUCAAAAGUGUCUUUUGUCAGCAGAGUGCUUUUAUUAGCUAAUGUAACUUUGCUGUACUCCAUGUUCACAGACAGAGGAAAGAAGUGUCCUUGGGUACUGAAUAUGAAAAGUAUGUAAGAACUCUCAAGGGCAAAAUUUGUUCAACUUUUUGAGGCUACGUUUGUCACUCUAUGUUGUAUGUUAACUAAAAAUAAUAAAGUUUUCCAAUGUCAAUGUCCAGAA